UGAUGAUUCGGGAACCCCAAGCGACAU
rnacentral:sRNA from 1 species